rnacentral:ribozyme from 1 species
AAAUACUGCCUCACUGUUGCAACUGGUCAGCGACGCUCAAUCCUAUGGCGCUUCUUGUUCUUCUUCUCAUGAGGAUGAUGAUGAUGAUGCUAAGGAUGAUAAUGAUAAUGCUAAUGAUGAUGAUACAGUUACAUUCACCGUCACCGCUACUUCUACUAUGGAUUACCUAGCUCAUGACCCUUUCCGUGGUGAUGGUGAUGGUGAGGGUGAUGGUGAU